rnacentral:rRNA from 1 species
GACUGGAUCUAUCGCUUCGGUCUUAACUUCGGCUGUGCGCUCACGCUGCACGCCGAUUACCUCUCACACCUGUGCACCUUUUCCGUUGGAGUUUCGGCCGCUUCCGCUUUUAAAUACAACCACGAAAAGUCUAGAAUGUGACGAGAACUAUAAAGUAACAACUUUCAACAACGGAUCUCUUGGCUCUCGCAUCGAUGAAGAACGCAGCGAAAUGCGAUAAGUAAUGUGAAUUGCAGAAUUCAGUGAAUCAUCGAAUCUUUGAACGCACCUUGCGCUCCUUGGUAUUCCAUGGAGCAUGCCUGUUUGAGUGUCACGUAAACCCUCACCCCUGCGAUGUAACAGUCGCCUGCGGUGGACUUGGACCGUGCCGGUAAUCGGCUCGUCUUGAAAUGCAUUAGCUGGCGCUUUUAGAGUGCUGGGCGAACGGUGUGAUAAUUAUCUGCGCCGACUGCCCUGGGCCUCUUCAGCGGCGCUGCUUACAGCCGUCCCUUGCGGACAACUAUUUUAAAGCUUUGGCCUCAAAUCAGGUAGGACUACCCGCUGAACUUAAGCAUAUCAAUAAGCGGAGGAA